rnacentral:rRNA from 1 species
UACGGGGGGAGCAAGCGUUGUUCGGAUUUACUGGGCGUAAAGGGCGCGUAGGCGGCCACCGCAAGUCGACUGUGAAAUCUCCGGGCUUAACCCGGAAAGGUCAGCCGAUACUGCGGGGCUAGAGUGCAGAAGGGGCAACUGGAAUUCUCGGUGUAGCGGUGAAAUGCGUAGAUAUCGAGAGGAACACCUGCGGCGAAGGCGGGUUGCUGGGCUGACACUGACGCUGAAGUGCGAAAGCUAGGGGGAGCGAACGGG